GCGCCAGUAGCCCAACGGAUUAGAGCAUCUGACUACGGAUCAGAAGGUUGCAGGUUCGAAUCCUGUCUGGCGCACCG
rnacentral:tRNA from 2 species